GCCGCUCCACCUUUCUCUACAAACCCUAGAUCCUCCACCGCACCUCCACCUUUCAUCCAUGGAACCGGUCGUCGCCAUCAUCGUCUUCUCCCCUUUCAUCCAUGGAACCGGUACCGUUUUUUACCCUAUCUUUUGAAGACGAAGACCGAUGAACAGGUGAAAGAGAUAACACUGCGGCUUGGUUCAAGAACCUUCAAAUUCAGCCUUAGUGGUUUGUUUAAUUGAUGUGGGUGGGUGUUACAGUAAGCUUAUAGGCAUGCCCCCUUAUCUUCAUAGUUUGUUGUUGGGUUGGGUGACAAAGUUUCACCAACUGAUAUCGAAGAAGGCAUGCGUGUUAGUGCAUAUCUGAUGUUGUUAUUAUGUAUUGACCCCAAGCCGAUCCCAGUCAGUUUUGGAUUGUAGUUUAUCAGCAGCUUCUUCUGUUGUAUCUUCUCUACUUGAGUCUGUCAGAAGCUAAAUGGGAAUGGGGAUAGUUGAAACAAAAAGUAGGGUAUAUCCCAAACGGGUAAAAAAUAUGAAACUACGAGGCAGAGCGGCUGGGAUCAUAGUCACCUGGAUCGAGGUACACUCCAGUACACAGAACGAAAACAGCAUCUUAUUACCAAUGGGAGUACAGCUGUGAAAUGGCGAAACAAAUUAAGUCUCACUUCAAGACCUGGAAAACUUGGUUAGUGUUGGCGCUCUCAAGGAGGCAAUGGACAGUCAACAAUAAAACUCUUGGCUUCAAGUCUCAGAUUGUGUGGAUUGUGUACAGGAUCCUUACCCUUUCGUGAGAUCCAUUUAAGAAAUUAGUUCAUAUUUGAAUUUAUUAUAUGUUAACCUUUUUUACCUUUCUAAAUGGAACAGAUUGUGUAUGUUCUUUUUUUUUUUUGGUGUCACAAAUGUCAUUUGAUGUAUUAAUUUCUUGCAAAAAACAUGUAUAUAUUUUUCAGAUUGAUGUUAUUACAUGUUAGAUCAUUAGCAUACAACAUGGAUUUAUCAUGAAUGUAGAAAUGGCAUAAUGUGUGGGUUGGUUAACAGGUCAAAAUGGUGCCAAAUAAAAAUUUAGCCGCACAAAAUUGUCAUUUUUCUUUAUUCUUCAUUUUGAACAUACUAUCAUCUUUAUUUCUCAUUGGGUUAACUAAAUUAGGGUUGUUGAUUCCUUUAUUCACACAAAUUGAGUUUACUUGCAGUAAGGACUCUCAAGAUAUCGAUUCUAUGUCAUCAUGGCGUGGCUGGCGUCUCUCUCAGCGCUUGUGGAGAUGGAUGGCAAGGUGUUGCUGGCAAGCCUCUUUAUAUAGCGCUUACGCAACGCAAAGAAUUUAGAAGGGCACGUUCACAUUUAAUAGUGAUCUUACACAGGUGCACAAAUGGUACGCUUUACAAUUUGAAAAUUUGAUGAAGGCCUCGAUUAUGGAUUAGGUGAACAGAUUGAAGCUAAUCUAAUUCUCUAUUUGCUUACUAUCCAGAUCAUUUAUAUGAAUAUUUGAGAGAAAAAAUGUUUUAAUUUAAUAGAUAGACAGUGAUUUGUUUUUAUGAAUCCAACUAUCUGCAGGUUGUUUUA